AAUGAAAUGUCUGAUAAAAAGAAUUAUUAUGAUAUAAUAAAAUAUAUAAACUAAAAUUUAUUUUCAUUA
rnacentral:tRNA from 1 species